rnacentral:rRNA from 1 species
GGAGCUUGCUCCCUUAGGUCAGCGGCGGACGGGUGAGUAACACGUGGGUAACCUGCCUGUAAGACUGGGAUAACUCCGGGAAACCGGGGCUAAUACCGGAUGCUUGAUUGAACCGCAUGGUUCCAAUCAUAAAAGGUGGCUUUCAGCUACCACUUACUGAUGGACCCGCGGCGCAUUAGCUAGUUGGUGAGGUAACGGCUCACCAAGGCGACGAUGCGUAGCCGACCUGAGAGGGUGAUCGGCCACACUGGGACUGAGACACGGCCCAGACUCCUACGGGAGGCAGCAGUAGGGAAUCUUCCGCAAUGGACGAAAGUCUGACGGAGCAACGCCGCGUGAGUGAUGAAGGUUUUCGGAUCGUAAAACUCUGUUGUUAGGGAAGAACAAGUACCGUUCGAAUAGGGCGGCACCUUGACGGUACCUAACCAGAAAGCCACGGCUAACUACGUGCCAGCAGCCGCGGUAAUACGUAGGUGGCAAGCGUUGUCCGGAAUUAUUGGGCGUAAAGCGCGCGCAGGCGGUUUCUUAAGUCUGAUGUGAAAGCCCCCGGCUCAACCGGGGAGGGUCAUUGGAAACUGGGGAACUUGAGUGCAGAAGAGGAGAGUGGAUUCCACGUGUAGCGGUGAAAUGCGUAGAGAUGUGGAGGAACACCAGUGGCGAAGGCGACUCUCUGGUCUGUAACU